ACUAAUAGCAACCAUCUAUAAACAAAAAUGUCCAUCGUAAAUCUCAAAAUUGCUGUCGAUUUUAUGUUCUUUUUACUCUUUAAAAUGCGAAUUUUAAAAAAAUUCUUUCUUAGUGCGCCUAUACAUAAUAUAAUAUAUUAUAAUAUAUUAUAUAAUAAGUACAUUUACUGACAAUUUCAAAAAAAUCGGUUCAGUAGUUAUGGCUGAACAUUGAAUCCACCCUUCAUUUAUGUGUAAAGAUUAUUUAAGAUCUAGAAUUAAUCUAUUGCAAAUUACUCAACGAUGGAUGCUUUUUCUUUGGAUUUAUUGUACCUACAUUUAUCUGGUAGUAAAAAGCUCAAAGAUUUCCAUUCAGGCCCUCAAUAAAUUCAAAAUUGAAUACGUACGGUACAAUACAAAGUUUUUCGAUGAAACGAAUAGUGGGAAACUACAGCGAAGAUAUGGCAUUAUGUACUCUACAGCUACACGUUGUUCGUCGGGCUGCAGGUAAUCGUCAACGUCCAAGAGUUCUUCUGAAGGCAUUUUUCUCAAGCUC